UACGUAGGGUCCGAGCGUUGUCCGGAGUUACUGGGCGUAAAGCGCGCGCAGGCGGCGGUGCUGGCCCGGCGUGAAAGCCCCCGGCUCAACCGGGGAGGGUCGUCGGGGACCGCACCGCUUGAGGGCGGUAGGGGCUGGUGGAAUGCCUGGUGUAGUGGUGAAAUGCGUAGAGAUCAGGCGGAACACCCGUGGCGAAGGCGGCCAGCUGGGCCGUCCCUGACGCUGAGACGCGAAAGCGUGGGGAGCAAACAGGAUUAG
rnacentral:rRNA from 1 species